AUUGAACGCUAGCGGCAUGCCUUACACAUGCAAGUCGAACGGCAGCACGGGGGGCAACCCUGGUGGCGAGUGGCGAACGGGUGAGUAAUGCAUCGGAACGUGCCCAUCGAUGGGGGAUAACUGCGCGAAAGCGUUGCUAAUACCGCAUACGACCUACGGGUGAAAGCAGGGGACCGCAAGGCCUGCGUCGAUGGAGCGGCCGAUGCCGGAUUAGCUAGUUGGUGAGGUAAAGGCUCACCAAGGCGACGAUCCGUAGCUGGUCUGAGAGGACGACCCAGCCACACUGGGACUGAGACACGGCCCAGACUCCUACGGGAGGCAGCAGUGGGGAAUCUUGGACAAUGGGCGAAAGCCUGAUCCAGCAAUGCCGCGUGUGGGAAGAAGGCCUUCGGGUUGUAAACCACUUUUGGCGGGAAAGAAAUGGUCUGUGCUAAUACCACGGAUUGAUGACGGUACCCGCAGAAUAAGCACCGGCUAACUACGUG
rnacentral:rRNA from 1 species